rnacentral:rRNA from 1 species
UACGUAGGAGGCGAGCGUUGUCCGGAUUUACUGGGCGUAAAGGGUGCGCAGGCGGCGUCACGCGUGGAUAGUUGAAAUCUCCUGGCUUACCUGGGAGGGUGGUAUCCAGACGGUGGCGCUUGAGGGUCGGAGAGGGGCGUGGAAUUCCGGGUGGAGCGGUGAAAUGCGUAGAGAUCCGGAAGAACACCCGUGGCUAAGGCGGCUCUCUAGUACGGUACUGACGCUGAGACGCGAAAGCGUGGGGAGCGAACAGG